rnacentral:rRNA from 1 species
ACUCCUACGGGAGGCAGCAGUGGGGAAUAUUGCACAAUGGGCGCAAGCCUGAUGCAGCCAUGCCGCGUGUAUGAAGAAGGCCUUCGGGUUGUAAAGUACUUUCAGCAGUGAGGAAGGUGGGUAUGUUAAUAGCAUAUUCAUUUGACGUUAGCUGCAGAAGAAGCACCGGCUAACUCCGUGCCAGCAGCCGCGGUAAUACGGAGGGUGCGAGCGUUAAUCGGAAUUACUGGGCGUAAAGCGCAUGCAGGUGGUUUGUUAAGUCAGAUGUGAAAGCCCGGGGCUCAACCUCGGGAAUUGCAUUUGAAACUGGCAAACUAGAGUACUGUAGAGGGGGGUAGAAUUUCAGGUGUAGCGGUGAAAUGCGUAGAGAUCUGAAGGAAUACCGGUGGCGAAGGCGGCCCCCUGGACAGAUACUGACACUCAGAUGCGAAAGCGUGGGGAGCAAACAGGAUUAGAUACCCCCGGGUAGGCUCU